rnacentral:rRNA from 1 species
UACGUAGGUCCCGAGCGUUGUCCGGAUUUAUUGGGCGUAAAGCGAGCGCAGGUGGUUUAUUAAGUCUAGUGUAAAAGGCAGUGGCUCAACCAUUGUAUGCAUUGGAAACUGGUAGACUUGAGUGCAGGAGAGGAGAGUGGAAUUCCAUGUAUAGCGGUGAAAUGCGUAGAUAUAUGGAGGAACACCGGUGGCGAAAGCGGCUCUCUGGCCUGUAACUGACACUGAGGCUCGAAAGCGUGGGGAGCAAACAGG